rnacentral:rRNA from 1 species
UACGAGGGGGGCGAGCGUUGUUCGGAAUUAUUGGGCGUAAAGGGUGCGUAGGCGGUUUGAUAAGUCACAUGUGAAAUCUUCGGGCUCAACCCGAAGUCUGCAUGCGAAACUGUCGGGCUUGAGUAUGGGAGAGGUGAGUGGAAUUUCCGGUGUAGCGGUGAAAUGCGUAGAUAUCGGAAGGAACACCUGUGGCGAAAGCGGCUCACUGGACCAUAACUGACGCUGAUGCACGAAAGCUAGGGGAGCAAACAGG